ensembl:lncRNA
GACAGUUCAUCUAUAGCCUUAUGCUGAAUGAGUGAGUAUGUGUGGUCCAGCUCAUUUAAAGAAAAAAAAAACAGUCCACAAAAGCCACCGGUAUUAGGGAACGUGGUACCAGUGACUGCAGUUUUGAAGAGUGAAUAUACUUUGUUUUGCAUUCAGUUUCUUUUCAUUCCCACACACCCCUUUCCUACAAUGAGGAAAAGCAAGAUUUCAGAGUAUUAAGAAAUGUUAAAUGUGAAAAAUUUAUCUACAUUCUUGCCUGUUAUCACCAAAUGGUUGGUAAAGGAGCAGGGUAGAGACAGGUGGUGUUUACGCUUUUUCAGAGUGAGUGCUACAAAAAGAAGACUAAUUAUUGAAAACUUCCCACCAACCAAACUUUGAUACCUUGCAGAUAGUAAAGGGCAAUGGAAAUAGACAAUGCAUAUCUAAUACAGACUGUUAGUUACUGCAGAAUUGCUUGGUGUUCUGUUGGAGAAAUUUAAAUGGAGAUUUUGCACACAUGUCCUGGGAUAGUGCUUAAAAGACUUUACUCCUAGUUGUAAGCAUUUUGGGUUAAUGCAGAGCUACACUCUCUUAAGCCUGAACUUGGCAAUAAUUCUAACUUUACUAGCUCUCUUGAAUGUAAACCUAUGUAUCUCCCCACUACCUUCUCCUCUUAAUAUUUUCUUCUAGAGGGGUGAUUUCUAAAGAUCCACAAUAAGGUUUCAAAUUAUGUUUCUUGUUAAGAAAUUAAAAUUUUACACCUUCCCUGUUAAAAUUUUCUGUUUUUUUUGUUUGUUUGUUUUUUUUAAGGAGAAGUACUUCCUUUUUAAAGAUCAUCUAUUUUUCAGUUUGCGGUUUAACUUUGGAUGGUAAAGCUCUAUAAUUUAAACAUUUUGAAUAAAACAAUUCUUUUCCCCAUUCUAUGUCUCAGCCCUCUGCUUGCCCCAAGAUCUCAUCAGAAUGGCAAUUUUUCCCCUUUGCUUUUGGGGAAUAUCCUUUGGACAGUUGCCAUCCUUAAGCCAACUUUCCCCUUUCGCUCUCGCCCUAGAACUUGUGAGUGAGUCCUUUGGAAAGGUCAGGAGCCCUGAUUAGCCUUGAGGUUAAAGAAAUUAUUGAAUGUAGGUUGCUAUCCUCCCAUUCACACCUAUUUUACCGUAUUCUUUUCUAUAAUUAUUUAUUUUUCAUUGACUGAUUUACAAUACUGGUUUGGUUUGACUUCUGUCAUAUAUCAACAUGAAUUAACCAUAGGUGUACAUAUGGCCUCUCACUCUUAUAUCUCCCUCCCACCUCCUGCCCAUUCCUGCCCCUCUAGGUUAUUACAGGGCCCCAGCUUGAGUUCCCUGAGUCAUACAGCAAAUUCCCAUUGAAUUUCUUAUUUUACCAUAUUCUUAUAUCUUUAACAAGUAUUAUUUUAUGCAUCAACAUGAAUCAUCGCUACAUAGAGAAUCACGUGAGAACUAGUUUAUUAUAUAUAAGUUGAAAUUAGUAUCCUAUGGGAGUCUCCAGGACUAUUGCCUGGAAAAUCCCAUGGACAGAGGAGCCUGGUAGGCUACAGUCCAUGCGGUCACAAAGAGUCGGACACGACUGAGCGACUUCACUUCACUUCACUAAACCUAUACUUGGAAUACAUAGGCAGUAGCUUUUAGGUAGGUUGUUUUCUUUUGAUAGUGCUUAUAAAACAGAUUCUUAAUUGGCAUGAUAGUCCCUUCUUGCUUCUAUACAUCAAUUUCCUCAAUUUGAUUAGUUUUAUAUAGAGAGGGGGAAAUGGCUCUGCUUAAUUUCCAUUUCUCACUUUUAAAAAUCAUAGAACAAGCCAGCCAAAAUUAAAGAGAAGUGUACAAAUGAGCAAAGGAUGCAUUGGUGGAAACCUAAGUCCGGCUUGCAAAAAUUUGACAUAUUUUUAGUUUUUAAAGGAUAACUUAGUUUCUGCAUCCCAAGCAGCAUAAGGAGAUAGAAAAAGACACUUUAUGCAUAUGAUGUCAAGGGUUUUCUCUAGAUCUUCACUCUUCUUCACCCCAGAUGACUAGGAUCCUUGCUUUUCAUUUUGUGAUUUUAGGUGUUAAACAAAUCUCUUGCAGGAAAGAUAUUGGCACAUAUUCUUGUGAGAAAUCACAAGCUAGAGAUUACAGGAAAUGACACCAAGGUUGUUCUGGGUGUUGUUAACUUGUUACUAAGUACUAGUUAGAAGGAGACGAAAAGAGAGCCUUUAGCUGGAAAUUAAAAAGCAAAAUGCUGGGAGGAGAGCUCAGAGUAAGAAUAUAAUGAUCUAUAAUAAGAACUGUUGUUUUAAUGACAACAUAUAUUGUCACUAAAUAUAUAUAUAUGUGUGUGUAUAUAUAUAUACACACUUAUCUGUUUUGAAUGCCGAAGGGUAUAGAACUGGAUAUCUCUCCAAUUACAUCUAUUUGCCUUUUAAACUAGCCUUACUAUUUUUAGUGAAGUUGAACUUCACUUUCCCAGUAGAUGGCAUUGUAGUCUGUUCAGUGGAAAAGGGCUUCCCCUAACCAACAGGACUUUAAUUUUUUUUUAUUCCUCUGAGCUUCUUCCUUGAUAAUGUACCCCCUCCCUCUUGCAUUAAAUACUAGCUUGAGGUUAUAAAUAAGAAUCUUGUUUUCGCUAGUUACCUGUAACUCUCAAAAGAUUUGAUUUUAAAAAAAG